rnacentral:rRNA from 1 species
UUAUUGAAGUUUAUUUUUGAGUUAAAAAGCUCAAAUUUGAAUAAAAGACGAGAAGACCCUAUAGAGUUUAAUAUUUAAUUAUUCAUUAAAUUUUGGGAAGAUUUUUGUGUAUUAAAUAUUUAGUUGGGGUGACUUAGAGAUUAAAAUAAUUCUUUAAAUUUUUAAUUGUUGAUAAGUAAUUUUUAAAUCUAGUUUUUUAAAUUUAAAAUUAAUUACCUUAGGGAUAACAGCGUAAUUUUUCUUUAGAGUUCUAAUCGAAAGAAGAUUUUGCGACCUCGAUGUUGGAUUAAAAUUAAUUUUUGGUGCAGUAACUAAAAAAUUAGGUCUGUUCGACCUUUAAAAUUUUACAUGAUCUGAGUUUAAACCGGUGUGAGCCAGGUUGGAUUCUAUCUUUAGUUUUGUAAUAUAUUUUAGUACGAAAGGACCAAAUAUAUAUUAUAUAAAUAAUUG